UACAGAGACCUCAAGCGUUAUCCGGAUUUACUGGGCGUAAAGCGUCCGCAGGUGGUUCGUUAAGUCAUUGGUCAAAUCCCGGGGCUCAACCCCGGAACUGCCCGUGAUACUGGCGAACUUGAGGCCGGCAGAGGCAAGCGGAAUUACUGGUGUAGCGGUAAAAUGCGUUUAUAUCAGUAAGAACACCAAAGGCGAAAGCAGCUUGCUGGAACGGUCCUGACACUCAUGGACGAAAGCGUGGGGAGCGAAAAGG
rnacentral:rRNA from 1 species